rnacentral:lncRNA from 1 species
AUGGUAUUUUCUCUGUUCUCUCUGCUCCUGAGUCCUUCAGCACAGUCACUGCUUAUACAUAGAAUCAUGCUUCAGUGGGACUCUGUAUGUGCUUCAGUGGGAUUCUGUAGGAUGCUGAUACAACACAGAAAUGAAUUUCUUUUUUGCAAGAAAUCAUCAUUAUUUAUUGAAUUGGAAAGCUAGCGAACCGAUGUUCCCCUGGGUGCUGUGAAUACCAUGAAAAUUGUGACAGAAAGUAUUAUAGGAGCUGAAUGCCAUACGACAAAGAUGCAUAAGAGAGUUACACUUUCCACCAGUACCAGCAAG